GGCGGGUGAACAAGGGAAUCUCGCUGGAGGCCCUUUUGGAAGGGAUCUCGGUGGCGCACCGCCGUUGCGUGUCGUUCGUCGGUAUAAGCAUUGUCGGACGGUCGAUGUCCGUUGUAUGUUUCAUUAGCUAUAUGUUUCUGCAGUUUGAUAUAAUGUUUUUGUGGCGUAGAUCUACAAGAGAUCAAGAAGGGUGAUGUUCUGGAUGCUGAUCUCGACUAAUAGUUGCCGGAUGAACUAUGCAAUGACAGCAUGGAUGAGUUCACAUUUACCUGGUGGACCAUCACCAACCGGAUGGAGGUGAAGCAAGUGGGCAAGUUAGGGAAAUGCUCGGAAGGCUAUCGAGAAGAUCAACGAUCUUAACCCCACGAUCCUAAUUUCAGUUUGUACCUCGUUGUUGGGCUGUCAGAAAAGUUUGGAGCAGGAGCAAUGAUAUGACAAUUGUGGCUAACUUUCUUGUCAUUAGUCAUAUAUGUGCUAAUGGACCUUCCGGGUUCUCCACCAUUAUGUUACCGGCCGGUUUCUCAUCUGAAAAAUACCCCAUAGCAUAGUGGACAAUGCUUUUUUUGGUCAGAAGUAGUAUUUCUACAUGAAACUAAGGUAUAUAUGCGUAUGAGAAAUGUGGCUUAUCUUUAGAUAAUGCUUUUUUUGUUAGAAGUUGUUUUUCUACAUGAAACUAAGGUAUAUAUGCGUAUGAGAAAUUAUAUCUUUGCUUAACUCAAAAAAUUGUAUUUGCUCCUUUUAGCGGGAGCCUGGAGGUAAUACGGUUUGUACAGCAUGGUUUGAAUAAGAUAUUGUUUGUAUACUGUUGAGUGAAGUAUUGUAUAACUACUGUAAAGUGGGUGUAGGUUUUUAUUGUGCAUUUUUCACAGAGGUUUGGGCGUUUGGACACAACCAUAUGUACAAGUUGAAGCCUUCAUUUGCUUUGAAGUUUUCUCAAGAAGAACUAGCACCAAGAGCCGAGUAAACGCAAGCAUUUCUUUAGGAAACAAAGAAAACUAUAGCAACUAUUUGAUGUUUCUCGACGCUUGAAGACAACAAGUGAAGUUGCUACCAUCUUACAAGCCAAAGUCAUGAGAAAGCUUUGUGUGCGAUUCACAUUUACCCGGUGGACCAUCACCAACCGGAUGGAGGUGAAGCAAGUGGGCAAGUCAGGGAAAUGCUCGGAAGGCUAUCGAGAAGAUCAACGAUCUUAACCCCACGAUCCUAAUUUCAGUUUGUACCUCGUUGUUGGGCUGUCAGAAAAGUUUGGAGCAGGAGCAAUGAUAUGACAAUUGUGGCUAACUUUCUUGUCAUUAGUCAUAUAUGUGCUAAUGGACCUUCCGGGUUCUCCAUUAUGUUUACCGGCCGGUUUCUCAUCUGAAAAAUACCCAUAGCAUAGUGGACAAUGCUUUUUUUGGUCAGAAGUAGUAUUUCUACAUGAAACUAAGGUAUAUAUGCGUAUGAGAAAUGUGGCUUAUCUUUAGAUAAUGCUUUUUUUGUUAGAAUUUGUUUUUCUACAUGAGACUAAGGUAUAUAUGCGUAUGAGAAAUUAUAUCUUUGCUUCACCCAAAAAAUUGUAUUUGCUCCUUUUAGCGGGAGCCUGGAGGUGAUACGGUUUGUACAGCAUGGUUUGAAUAAGAUAUUGUUUGUAUACUGUUGAGUGAAGUAUUGUAUAACUACUGUAAAGUGGGUGUAGGUUUUUAUUGUGCACUUUUCACAGAGGUUUGGGCUUUUGGACACAACCAUAUGUACAAGUUGAAGCCUUCAUUUGGUAUUGACUUCUUGUCUUGACUCAAAUUUUGACAAUUCCCUAUAAUACUUCCAUCUGGAAGCACAAAAUCUGAUAGAGUUGAUUCGUGUGGGAAAAAUACAUGAAGCUUUGAAGUUUUCUCAAGAAGAACUAGCACCAAGAGCCGAGUAAACGGUAAUUUUUUUGUUAAAACAUCUCACUUACCUUAGUUAAAAACCAGGGUUCGAAACUAUAUUAGUCAGAAUACAGUUCUUGUUGUCAGCUAGAUUUCAUUUUCUGGUAAUAUCAUUUGUCGUUAAGAACAUGCUCUUAUGUUAUAUUUUAUUUGUAAACUUUUGGCAAUUUUUUCAGCAAGCAUGUCUUUAGGAAAUAGAGAAAACGGCAGCAACUAUUUGAUGUUUCUCGACGCUUGAAGACAACAAGUGAAGUUGUUGCUACCAUCUUACAAGCCAAAGUCAUGAGAAAGUCGGGUGUUAAAAUG